rnacentral:sRNA from 1 species
AUCUGACAAAUGAACAAGUCAUUCUAUUUACUGGUUUCUUUGAUCUAUUUAUAAAAAUGAA